rnacentral:rRNA from 1 species
CGGCCGCGGUACCCUGACCGUGCUAAGGUAGCAUAAUCCCUUGCCUCUUAAUUAGUGGCUAGUAUGAAUGGACAAACGAGAAUCUAUCUGUCUCUAUAAAUUUCCCUAAAAAUUACCCUUCAAGUGAAGAGUCUUGAAUCCCUAUAAAAGACAAGAAGACCCUGUAGAGCCUUAGCUUAUUACAAACACCAGUAAAUAAAAUAAAAUUAAUCUUUAUAACAGCUCUAGUUGGGGCGACUAAGGAGCACCAAAACCCUCCUCCAUCCUCCUACCGGCCCGUCCGCCUACUUUAAUGACCCGCCACUUAUGCCGCGACCAAAAAACUAGGCUACCUCAGGGAUAACAGUCUAAUCUUCCUCAAGAGCCCAUAUUGACAGGAAGGAUUGGCACCUCGAUGUUGGCUUAGGGGCCCUUCAAGGCGCAGCCACCUUGAAAGUAGGUUUGUUCAACCUUUAAUACCCUACGUGAUC